ensembl:lncRNA
CCCGUUAAUGCCCAGGAUCGCAUUUAAAUUCGGGCAAGCUUAGAGGUUUCCUCUGCAAAGAAGAAAACACAAUCAUCAGAANUGGCUUAGGACGGCCCCGCAUCGCCUUUGUAAUAAGUUUGACCCAAAGGUGUUUCCAUCGGGCGCCACUAGUGCCUACAUUCCCCAAGCUGCUCUAAGAGAAGGGGGCAGGGCUUAAGAAAGGGGCGGGGCUGGACUUGCGAUCGUCAAGCUGUCGCCCCCUGCUGCUUCCAUCACCUUGUGCAAGAACUGCAGGGCUUUGACUUGUAGAUUUGGAGGCAGCGCUGCUGGAAGAUGGUUGCGGGUUUCCCACUGAACCCCCANCCGCCCAUUUGCAAGCUGCCAUUCGGGGGCCUCGAACAUGGUGUCCAUUUCCACGUGGGACACCAAAGGCGCUGGGGGAGGGAAGCGGGGACGGAUGGGGAGAGCAGAGCCUCAGGAGAGCCCCCCCCUUUAAUUAGGCUGCCACAGGGCGGAGAACCGGGGCGCCUCUUUCUCCUAGGGCUGCAGAUCGGGGGCGCNCCGUCCAUCGGGCAGGCGAGCCAGGCUGGCUGCCGGUCUGGCGUCCCUUCCCGGCUGAGGAGCCCCGCUGGGCCCGGGUCGGUGCUCCAGGCGCGGAUGCUGUGCCAGCAGCCGAUCGAGUGCGCCUCGGUGGCAGCAGCAAAGCGCACGCGGCUCACCCCGUCUGCCCGCCCGCCUGGCCCUAGGGGUGGCGCUCCAGCCCCCUGUGGGGGUGUGUGUGAAAAGGGCCUUCGAGGCCCCUCCCCUCCCCGCCCAGCAGCGGGGCCUGGAGAAUUGCUCGAUCGGCAGGCAGGCGGGCAGGCAGGGCACGGGGCGGAUGGCGGAGGCUGCCCCGCCGGUGCCAGCCCGGCUGCUGCUGCCCCUCCUGGUGCUCCUCCUCCUCGUUGGCCUGGAGGGGCCCCAGGCGGCCGGGGGCGAAGAGGCGCCGGCGCCCAAGGUGGAGAGUACCAGCAUCCUUUGGAUGGAGACAGAGAGCNCCUUUAACCAGCAGACGCGUCCCAAGAGGAGACCCCAUUGUCUCAUUGGGGUACUGCAGAGGAAGUACCAUCACUGCCACCUGCACCUUUGGGUCCGAAAAUGGAAGCCCAGGGGCGNCGUCUUCCUGCAUCAUCCGUGUACUGUCCUGUUCCUCCAUAAGCAACUAAAGUGGUAUGUGCAAAUCCACUGGUGCCGCCGUGCCCUGGCCUUGCACAAGAGCCUCGCACAGCCUACGGCGCCGGUUGUGCAGGAUGGCGGCCUGCGGAUGGCAGAGGGGACCUGGCCGAAGUGGCCCUCUGCCCAUUGCAGCCCCAGCAAGGCCCAGGAUGGACAGUCCUUUAAGUGGGUGGCUCUGCCCAAAAAUGGUUGCCCCAUUUUCCCAAUUCAGGUUUGGCCAAAGCUCCUCCACCUUUGGGGAGGCUGUGAAAUUACCUGUGUGAUGGAAGCAGGCAACCCGCGGUGGUGGCCCCCCGGACGGCGAACCCGGCGCCGUUACCCACGCACAGCCCUGGAUCGCAGGAGCAGUCUAGGUGCUGCCNCGUUGCCUUCUGCAACACCCGGUCCGCAUCUUGAGAGGACUGAUGCUUCUAGGCCCUUGGGCCCAAGCGAAGGGACCCUGCUUAACGUGACACCUUCCUUCGGCCACCCCAGCCGGCCUUCAGUUCCCGCCGAGACAGGAACAACCCCACCGGCAAAGUGCCAGUGUCCUGGCGGAGAAAGGGGCAAAGCUGAAGGUGUACAGCAAAAGGCCCUNAAGGGACCACCGGCGGGCAGGCGGGUCCCCACCCCACGCACUGAGGAAGCCGCCUGGGCCGCCAGNGCCCUCACUUUCCUGCUGGUGGUGCUGACGCUUGCCGUGUUGUACACGCAGCUGCACCGCAAAUGCCGCCGCAGUCGCAGUCUCUAUUGGGCCACCAGCAGCGAGGAGGGGCACGACACCGUGGCCGCUGUCAUCAAACACCGCCUCCUCUCGGCUCAGGCCCGGCGCAAGAAGCGAUCACGAACCCAGCAGAGGAUGCUGCUUCUGCCGACCACUUCUAGCGAGAGCUCCGAGUAA